UACGUAGGGUCCGAGCGUUGUCCGGAAUUAUUGGGCGUAAAGGGCUCGUAGGCGGUUCGUCACGUCGGGAGUGAAAACUCGGGGCUUAACCCCCGAGCCUGCUUCCGAUACGGGCAGACUAGAGGUAGGCAGGGGAGAGCGGAACUCCUGGUGUAGCGGUGGAAUGCGCAGAUAUCAGGAGGAACACCGGUGGCGAAGGCGGGUCUCUGGGCCGUAACUGACGCUGAGAAGCGAAAGCAUGGGGAGCGAACAGG
rnacentral:rRNA from 1 species